GAUGAAGAACGCAGCGAAAUGCGAUAAGUAGUGUGAAUUGCAGAAUUCAGUGAAUCAUCGAAUCUUUGAACGCACAUUGCGCCCCUUGGUAUUCCAUGGGGCAUGCCUGUUCGAGCGUCAUUUGUAACUUCAAGCCUUGCUUGGUGUUGGGUGUUUGUCUCGCCUCUGCGCGCAGACUCGCCUCAAAACAAUUGGCAGCCGGCGUAUUGAUUUCGGAGCGCAGUACAUCUCGCGCUUUGCACUCAGAACGACGACGUCCAAAAGUACAUUUUUACACUCUUGACCUCGGAUCAGGUAGGGAUACCCGCUGAACUUAAGCAUAUCAAUAAGCGGAGGA
rnacentral:misc_RNA from 1 species